UCCAGACUCCUACGGGAGGCAGCAGUGGGGAAUAUUGCACAAUGGGGGGAACCCUGAUGCAGCGACGCCGCGUGGGUGAAGGAGCACCUCGGUGCGUAAAGCCCUAUCGGCAGGGAAGAAACAGACGGUACCCGACUAAGAAGCCCCGGCUAACUACGUGCCAGCAGCCGCGGUAAUACGUAGGGGGCAAGCGUUAUCCGGGUUUACUGGGUGUAAAGGGAGCGUAGACGGUGAAGCAAGUCUGAAGUGAAAGGCGGGGGCUCAACCCCCGGACUGCUUUGGAAACUGUUUGACUGGAGUGCAGGAGAGGUAAGUGGAAUUCCUAGUGUAGCGGUGAAAUGCGUAGAUAUCACGCAGAACCCCGAUUGCGAAGGCAGCCUUCCGGCGCCCUACUGACGCUGAGGCACGAAAGUGCGGGGAUCGAACAGGAUUAGAUACCCUAGUACG
rnacentral:rRNA from 1 species